rnacentral:misc_RNA from 1 species
AACUGAUACUACCUGCGGGAACCUGCGGAGGGAUCAUUACCGAGUGCGGGCCCUCGCGGCCCAACCUCCCACCCUUGUCUCUAUACACCUGUUGCUUUGGCGGGCCCACCGGGGCCACCUGGUCGCCGGGGGACGUCGUCUCCGGGCCCGCGCCCGCCGAAGCGCUCUGUGAACCCUGAUGAAGAUGGGCUGUCUGAGUACUAUGAAAAUUGUCAAAACUUUUAACAACGGAUCUCUAGA